rnacentral:lncRNA from 1 species
UUCGGCAAAAAGCAUAAAGAAAAAUCAGAAUCACACAAUUAAAAGUGAGAUGACAUGAAGAACAGCAAGCAGGAGCUGUGAAAUGAAAGCAACCUAGUUGUAGAGAUCAGGAUUUGCCAAGAGGUAAGCUUCAACAGCCUUGUACAUUCCGGAGGCCCUUUCUUUGCCAGCCUUAAUUUGCUCUUCAUUCAUCUCAAUGUCACCAAUGGUAUAAUACUUGCUGGUGCUCUUGCAAAUUGAUCCUCCAUCUGGUGCUGCCACAAACUUGGUCUCAUAACUGAUUUUCUCAAGUGUGUUCAUCAAAGCAUCUCCUUCGAUCACACUGUAACUGUAUGAGAAGUUCUCCUUGUCUAUUCCUUCAACCUUUUGUUUCACAUACUUGAAUUGGCUGCCUACAUUUGUUACCAAGCAAAAAACUUACAUGCUAUUUUAUUUCUCAAAAUUAGAAAAUGGAAAGGAAUUUCAAGUGGCAAGAAAUGGAAACUAACCUUCACCAAAAGUAAUCUUCUUGAUACUUCCGGGCCCACCAUCUCCGUUAACAAGCUCAGAGCUCUUGAUUGCAUGUGGCACAACCUUGGGGAAAAGGUUGUCACCGUCAAGAACAAAGGCCUUGAACAUCUUGGCUGGGGGGACUGAGGUAGCAACCUCCAUUUCAUAAGUGACAACACCCAUGAUUCUACACUAGGAGUUUGAAAAUGUUCAAAUUUGAGAAGAUGAAACAAAGAGAAAAAGAGGAAGAAUAACUGAGUUUUUGAGUUGUGGGAAGAAGUGAGAACUAAGAUGUAUUUAUAGUUGCUAUUACCUUCAAAGAAUUUGCAGUGGUCAAAAGAAGCACCCUGCAUGAAAUUUUCCAUAGUAAAUGGCCAAUUGAUCAUUUUAAAAUGUUGUACCAACCUAUAGAAGAAAAAAAAAAAAACAUUUUAUUAAUGCCUGGUGCCAUGCGGCCUUUUGGCAUGUAAACAGACUGCAAAAUUUCAAUAUAAUAACAGCAAAGUGGAUAUCAGAGGGCAGCAACAAUUUGACAAAAUUAAGUUGUGAAGAUGAAGGCACCUUUCGUUGACUAACUAUUUCAUUAUCAUAAGUGAGAAAAUAAAGACCAAAAGAUAUAAAUAAAUAAAUAUAUAUAUAUAUAUAUAUAUUUAUCAAAUUAAAGCUUGAGAAGACUUGGUGGACUAUCUAGAAAGCAAGUACUGAAAGAGGUAAUAGGUAUAUGGAAUCCUUGUAUGACUUUUUAAAAAUAUACAAAAAUAAAAUAAAAUUUAUUUUUUUAUUUUUAUCUUGCACAUUUAAAUAAAUUUUUAUAAAUAUAUCUUUUUAAAUAUAAAUAUAUUAAUUUUAAUAAAUCCAAAAUAAAAUUUAUAUUAUUAAAUAAAAAAUUAAUUUAUUAAAUAUAUAUAAGAUACAAAUAUAAGGUCAAUAUUAUAUUACUUAUUUAUGUAUCCAUGCUUAAUAAAAAAUUUUAAAUCAUAUGCAUUUUUAUUCCCUCUUUAAAAUUUAAUUUCCAUCCCAUCUCAUUACCAUAAAAAAUCUGAUUCCUCAUCAAAUUUAACUAAGAUUGACAUCCCUUUACCUCCAAUUAAGUUUUAAACCUUAGAACUUAACUGUUGGGUACUUGGAACAUCUUGAUUACGACCAUUUCUCAUUGGUUGGAUGAAUUAUGGCUGUUUUUUAUAUAAUUGGGUUUUCUGCAACAUGAGCCACAAGUGAACUGCUAGACGACCCUGCUUUGAAACUUCUCUUCAUCUACGUGUUUGACAAUUCUUAGAGUUUGAAAUUUUCCCAAUGUUAUAUCAUUUCAUCAAAAAAAUAAAAUAAAAUUUUUCUAUACUAUCUGAUGUCACUAUUGACGAGAGAUUUAUCACACUUGAAACCAUAUAAACAUAUAUCAAAAACUUUAUAUAUAUAUGUUAGAUAUUAUUUGAAUCCAAAAACUUAAACUAUUGAGUUUUUAGAUCUUUUAUAUAUAUAUAUAUAUAUAAUAUCUCAUUUAUAUUUUUUAGUAAUGUUGAAUUUUUUACUUACAUAUGAACCAUCCAAUAAUCUUUCUCAUUCACUUGUAAGCUUUCAUCAAAUCCCACAUCGAUUUUUCGUGCGAGUAAAUCCUAUCAAUACUUUUUUUGAACCAAAAAACCUCACAUCUCUAGUGUAUUUUUAGGGCAGAUCAUAUACUCAACCUUGUAGUCUAGGUUAUCUUAGUACCCCUCAAGUUUGCACUCGAUGUUGAUUCAAUACAUUGCCGAGUUUCACUUUUGCACACUCACUACAUUCAGUCAAACCUUUUUACAUUGAUGCCGGCAUUUGAGCGUAUAAAAUUGAUGGACGCGAUUAACUUCCGAUUUGUCAACAAUCUUUUCAUUUAGUAAUACUACUUAAAUUCGAAUUCGUGACCUUGGCUCUAAUAGCACUUAUUGGGCAUAGGGAUGACAAGCUCGUUUCGAACCCGAUCCGACUUUAUAUUCACAAAUCCCAAACUCGAUUCAACCCAAAAGUUUUUUUAUUUUUUUCAUACUCAAAUCCGAUCCAAUAUUAUAUAAAUUGUAUCCAACUCAACCUGACCUUAAAUUAAUAAAAUAUUAUUUUUUUAAUAUAAAAAUAUUAUUUUUUAAUAUAAAUAUAAAAUUAUAUAAAUAUAUAUAAAUAAAAAAUUAAAUAAUUAAUUAAAAAAUAAUUUAUAUAUAUCGAAUCGGGUGUGAUCGGAUUUGCCUAAAAUUCAACCUUGAUCCGAAACUCGAUUUUCAAAAAAAAAAAUAAUGUUAUGAGAUCGAAUCAAAUCGGAAUCCAUCGAGAGAGUAGUUGGAUUGUCAACUCUAGUUGAGCUUAAAUCGAUAAAUACAAUAACGUAAAAAUAAUAUAUAAUAAUAAACUUAUAAUAAUAAUUAAUAAUUAAUAACGUAAAAGAAAUAAAGCACAUAAAAAACAAGAAGUUUUUACCCAGUACAUAGCGUGUUCAUAUGGUUUUUGCUUAGGCUUGUGUUGUAUUCAAGAAUGGCUGCCACAGGUCAAUUGGCCUUUCUCUGUUCGUAGAGUAUAAUAUUUUGUCAACAAAUUGUACCUAAUGCCGCAAACAAUGUUAGGCAAAAAAUGAUUAGAACGCCCCUUCAAAGUUGACUUACUCUUAAUGCUGCUGGCUUCCUGAUUUUUACGUUCUUUUUCUUUCAAUAUCAUGCAUCCUAGCAAGAGGCUUUAGUCUAACAAUUAGGCUGGAUGUUAGUCUGUGCGAUACGCUUCAAUCUGGCAACAAGUUACAUCUUUUAGCUAGCAGAGUUCAUCAGACAUGACCCAAUUUGUCCAAAUCUGAUUUUUUUUUUUUUUUGGGUGAGGGCAGGAGCAUAUGGUUAAAUGACCCUGGCAGCCAUGGCUGUUUGUUGGAGCUCAGGCUUGAUGGAUUUAAAAUUCCGAAAAAACUAGGUGUCUAUGUCUCACAAGCAGGUUGGAUGUCUAAUGAAGAAGAAUCAAUUAAGGAAUUUCUGGCAGAAAUAGUUUGGCUGCUUAGGUAUCUUUUCUGAAAAAAUUGAUCAUACCAUGUGUUCAGUAAUUUGGCAAAUCUUGAUAGAUGAAGAUAAAUGGAUAAUGCAGCAACUCAUUUGCAGUACAUUGCUUGAAUCCGUCACAGUUUCUAGUAAAUGCUCCUUAAUUCUCCUGGACCAACAAUGCAAAAAGUAAAAGGUAAAAAAAAAAAAAAAAAAACAAAAAGCAACUCCCUCACACAAGCACAAAUCCAUUCUACAUCUAAUUUAUGAUCAUUGAAGUGGAUCCAAUCUCAAUAUUGGGAUUUUCAGUAGGCGCCAGGAUUUGCCAGGAGGUAGGCUUCAACAGCCUUGAAUAAUUCCAAGGCCUUUUCUUUGCCUGCCUUGAUUCCCUCUUCUGUGAUCUCGAAGUCACCAAUGGUGUAAUAUUUACUAGUGAUAUUACAUAUGGAUCCCCCGGCAGGAGAUGGUUCCAACUUGACAUUGUUAAUCAACAGAUUAUUGGUUAAAUCAAUAGAUUAUUUGUGCCACUUUGUGAAUCCCAUCCUAUCUCACAUGUCAACAUGGUUAAAACGAUGAUCAUACAUGAAAGAUUUAGGCUCAAUUUGAUGCGUGUUCGGUCAUAAAAUAGCAUCCAUGACGCCAGGGAGUCCCUCCCACCAUGCAUCCAAAGGGGGUCUUUGGGUGUACUUGUUGAUAAUUGUUUGUUAUUUUCCUGGGAAUAAAACAUGUUGCAAGUUGCAAUAAAGCAACAAAAUAACAUGAAAUGGUUAGAAAUCAUGACAGUACAUGUCGCAAAAUUUAUCCGAGUGACAGCAUAGGGCCAGCUUUCAUCCUGUCGAGAUCCUGAUCAGCCAAAAUUGAUCAAUGUUUGUGUCAAAUUUGAACAUGGUUAUGUACCUAUGUUCAUGUAAGAUAAACAAAAACUGAAACUUUUGAGAAUGCUCCUUUUAUCCACAUUAAAUAUAUAUAAUUUUCUAAUUGCUCUUCAAUUAGGCCCCCUGUUUUUCCCAUAAUUCUCUCUUUGCCCCCACUUAAGUUUUUAUAACCUUGAACCCUUGAACUUCACUGUUGGGUACUUAGAACAUCUUGACCUUCAAUGCCCUUCGAAAAUAGAAUUGAUUGAUUAUUUUGCAGAGAAUUUUUAGGCGUGGAGAUGUGAACCUGAAGCUGCAGUAUUUAUAGAGUGAGAUCGAAGAACAGCUUUUCUAGGUGAUUUCUUCAUACUAUACUGGACGGUUUCAGUUUGGCAACGUAAUCAUUAGUUUUCACUAGACAAUUGAUUCAGGUUUGUGUAUUCUUCGAUCAAGAACAAAUUUAUGGAUCUUGAAAGCUGUCAAUAUCAGAAGAUUAAAAAGAAAGAACUCUAAUAUUUUAAGCAUGGAAGACCUUGAAUCAAGUGCGUGGACUGUUACGAACUCGCAACUAUGUUGACUAACUUAGAAAAGGGUUUUGAAGUUAGGUUCACUUGCAGCUUUUAGCCACAGGUGAACCAAAGACGCUGCUUCAUAGCAUAUUUCUCCUCAGUGUUAUAUGUAUAUAUUGUUUAUCAGGAGUUGUGGACUUAGUCUUACAGCCCAUAUCAAGUUAUUAGGGGGAAAUUUUAGGCAACGAAUGUCAAAUUCUUUAUGACUUUAGGUUCAUAUCUUGGAAAUAGGAGGGAUUUGGAUUUCAUCAUCACUCCUGGUUCACCUUAAAAAAUUUAUGACAGAAAAAAAAAAAAGAAAUUGCAAAUAAUAAAAGCUUGAUUGCUAUAUAUUUUUCAUUUCAUGUAUCAAAUAUAAUACAACUCAAACUCCUUAAUUAUAUAAUGAAAACACAGACGAUCACGGCCAGAGACCACCACUCUUAUUAGCCAUUGAAGGAAAGUUUGGCAAAAAGCAAAUAAGAAAAAUCAAAAUCACACCAUUAAAAGGGAUAUGAUAUGAAGAAUAGCAAGCAGGAGCUGCGAAAUGAAAGCAACCUAGUUGUAGAGAUCAGGAUUUGCCAAGAGGUAAGCUUCAACAGCCUUGUACAUUCCGGAGGCCCUUUCUUUGCCAGCCUUAAUUUGCUCUUCAUUGAUCUCAAUGUCACCAAUGGUAUAAUACUUGCUGGUGCUCUUGCAAAUUGAUCCUCCAU